rnacentral:rRNA from 1 species
UGGGGAAUAUUGGACAAUGGGCGAAAGCCUGAUCCAGCAAUGCCGCGUGAGUGAUGAAGGCCUUAGGGUUGUAAAGCUCUUUCGCCUGCGACGAUGAUGACGGUAGCAGGAGAAGAAGCCCCGGCUAAUUCCGUGCCAGCAGCCGCGGUAAUACGGAAGGGGCUAGCGUUGUUCGGAAUUACUGGGCGUAAAGCGCGCGUAGGCGGCUGGGUAAGUGUGGCGUGAAAGUCCUGGGCUCAACCUGGGGACGGCGCUGCAGACUGCCUGGCUGGAGUCCGGAAGAGGGUAGUGGAAUUCCGAGUGUAGAGGUGAAAUUCGUAGAUAUUCGGAGGAACACCGGUGGCGAAGGCGGCUACCUGGUCCGGUACUGACGCUGAAGUGCGAAAGCGUGGGGAGCAAACAGG